GUUUACAGCCAUACCAACCUGAACUCACCUGAUCUCGUCUCAUCUCAGAAGCUAAGCAGGGUCAGGCCUGGUUAGUACUUAGAUGGGAGAAUAUGUAAGUAAAGAUGUCAUUAUAUGGU
ensembl:rRNA 5S_rRNA 5S ribosomal RNA